rnacentral:rRNA from 1 species
AGCGGCGGAUGGGUGAGUAACACGUGGGGAACCUGCCCCUAAGUCUGGGAUACCAUUUGGAAACAGGUGCUAAUACCGGAUAAUAAAGCAGAUCGCAUGAUCAGCUUUUGAAAGGCGGCGUAAGCUGUCGCUAAGGGAUGGCCCCGCGGUGCAUUAGCUAGUUGGUAAAGUAACGGCUUACCAAGGCGACGAUGCAUAGCCGAGUUGAGAGACUGAUCGGCCACAUUGGGACUGAGACACGGCCCAAACUCCUACGGGAGGCAGCAGUAGGGAAUCUUCCACAAUGGACGCAAGUCUGAUGGAGCAACGCCGCGUGAGUGAAGAAGGUUUUCGGAUCGUAAAGCUCUGUUGUUGGUGAAGAAGGAUAGAGGUAGUAACUGGCCUUUAUUUGACGGUAAUCAACCAGAAAGUCACGGCUAACUACGUGCCAGCAGCCGCGGUAAUACGUAGGUGGCAAGCGUUGUCCGGAUUUAUUGGGCGUAAAGCGAGCGCAGGCGGAAAAAUAAGUCUAAUGUGAAAGCCCUCGGCUUAACCGAGGAACUGCAUCGGAAACUGUUUUUCUUGAGUGCAGAAGAGGAGAGUGGAACUCCAUGUGUAGCGGUGGAAUGCGUAGAUAUAUGGAAGAACACCAGUGGCGAAGGGGCUCUCUGGUCUGCAACUGACGCUGAGGCUCGAAAGCAUGGGUAGCGAACAGGAUUAGAUACCCUGGUAGUCCAUGCCGUAACGAUGAGUGCUAAGUGU